rnacentral:rRNA from 1 species
GGCCCAAAUCCUACGGGGGCUGCAGUAGGGAAUCUUCCACAAUGGGCGAAAGCCUGAUGGAGCAACGCCGCGUGUGUGAUGAAGGCUUUCGGGUCGUAAAGCACUGUUGUAUGGGAAGAAAAGUUAAGGUAGGGAAUGACCUUAGCCUGACGGUACCAUACCAGAAAGGGACGGCUAAAUACGUGCCAGCAGCCGCGGUAAUACGUAUGUCCCGAGCGUUAUCCGGAUUUAUUGGGCGUAAAGCGAGCGCAGACGGUUGGUUAAGUCUGAUGUGAAAGCCCGGAGCUCAACUCCGGAAAGGCAUUGGAAACUGGUUAACUUGAGUGCAGUAGAGGUAAGUGGAACUCCAUGUGUAGCGGUGGAAUGCGUAGAUAUAUGGAAGAACACCAGCGGCGAAGGCGGCUUACUGGACUGUAACUGACGUUGAGGCUCGAAAGUGUGGGUAGCAAACAGGAUUAGAUACCCUGGUAGUCCACACCGUAAACGAUGAACACUAGGUGUUAGGAGGUUUCCGCCUCUUAGUGCCGAAGCUAACGCAUUAAGUGUUCCGCCUGGGGAGUACGACCGCAAGGUUGAAACUCAAAGGAAUUGACGGGGACCCGCACAAGCGGUGGAGCAUGUGGUUUAAUUCGAAGCAACGCGAAGAACCUUACCAGGUCUUGACAUCCUUUGAAGCUUUUAGAAAUAGAAGUGUUCUCUUCGGAGACAAAGUGACAGGUGGUGCAUGGUCGUCGUCAGCUCGUGUCGUGAGAUGUUGGGUUAAGUCCCGCAACGAGCGCAACCCUUAUUGUUAGUUGCCAGCAUUCAGAUGGGCACUCUAGCGAGACUGCCGGUGACAAACCGGAGGAAGGCGGGGACGACGUCAGAUCAUCAUGCCCCUUAUGACCUGGGCUACACACGUGCUACAAUGGCGUAUACAACGAGUUGCCAACCUGCGAAGGUGAGCUAAUCUCUUAAAGUACGUCUCAGUUCGGACUGCAGUCUGCAACUCGACUGCACGAAGUCGGAAUCGCUAGUAAUCGCGGAUCAGCACGCCGCGGUGAAUACGUUCCCGGGUCUUGUACACACCGCCCGUCACACCAUGGAAGUUUGUAAUGCCCAAAGCCGGUGGCCUAACCGUAAGGAGGGAACCGU